rnacentral:rRNA from 1 species
CUUCCUUAGGAGAUGCGCUAGCUUGUCAGCCUCGGGGGGAAUGGCCGCGUGGUUCCAAAAUCAAAAUGAAUUUGAGGGAGCCACGCACCAGGGGUGGAGCAAGUGGUUUAAUUUUGAAGCAACGGGAAGAACCUUACGUAGUAUUGACAUCCACAGAAAUUUGCAGAGAUGUAAUUGUGCCUUCGGGAACUCUGAGACAGGUGCUGCAUGGCUGUCGUCAGCUCGUGUCGUGAAAUGUUGGGUUAAGUCCCGCAACGAGCGCAACCCUUUUCCCUUGUGGCCAGAGGUUUGCCGGCGGAAACACAAAGGAGCGUCCCAGAGAUAAACUGGAGGAAGGUGGGGAUGACGUCAAGUCAUCAUGGCCCUUACGACCAGGGAUACACACGUGCUACAAUGGCGCAUACAAAGAGAAGCGACCUCGCGAGAGCAAGCGGACCUCAUAAAGUGCGUCGUAGUCCGGAUUGGAGUCUGCAACUCGACUCCAUGAAGUCGGAAUCGCUAGUAAUCGUGGAUCAGAAUGCCACGGUGAAUACGUUCCCGGGCCUUGUACACACCGCCCGUCACACCAUGGGAGUGGGUUGCAAAAGAAGUAGUGUAGCUUAACCUUCGGGAGGGCGCUACCACUUUUGAUUCAUGGUGCG